rnacentral:rRNA from 1 species
ACUCAAAUGAAUAGACGGGGACUUGCACAAGCGGUGGAUCAUGCGGCUUAAUUCGAUGGCAAACGAAAAACCUCACCAGGGUUUGAAACACACUUGCAAGCUUUAGGAAACUUUAGCCCUCGCAAGACAAGUGUGCAGGUGAUGCAUGGUCGUCGUCAGUUCGUGGCUUGAGUUGUUCCCUUCAGUGGGGUAACGAACGCAACCCUCGUUGCCUGUUUUCUAUGUCAGGCGAGACUGCCCCCUCACGGGGGAGGAAGGUGAGGAUGACGCCAGAUCAGCAUGUCCCUUUGAUAUCCUGGGCUGCACGCAUGAUACAAUGCACUCGACAACGGGUCGCGACGGGGUAACCCUGAGCCAAUCCUUAUAAACGAGUGCCCAGUUCGGAUUGAGGUCUGCAACUCGACCUCAUGAAGCCGGAAUCGCUAGUAAUCGCAGGUCAGCUAUACUGCGGUGAAUACGUUCUCAAGUCUUGUACACACCGCCCGU